AAUAUUGCGCAAUGGAGGGAACUCUGACGCAGCGACUCCGCGUGAGCGAUGAAGGUCUUCGGAACGUAAAGCUCUGUCCUUGGGGAAGAAGGGAGCCGUAAGGCCUCUUGACGUUACCCCUGGAGGAAGCCCUGGCUAACUACGUUCCAGCAGCCGCGGUAAUACGUAGGGUGCAAGCGUUGUCCGGAAUCAUUGGGCGUACAGGGUGCGUAGGCGGCCUUUUAAGUCAGGUGUGAAAGACCACAGCUUAACUGUGGGGUUGCAUUUGAAACUGCUGUGCUUGAGUGCAGGAGAGGAAAGCGGAAUUCCUAGUGUAGCGGUGGAAUGCGUAGAUAUUAGGAGGAACACCAGUGGCGAAGGCGGCUUUCUGGACUGUAACUGACGCUGAGGCACGAAAGCGUGGGGAGCAAAC
rnacentral:rRNA from 1 species